UCUCCCAGUGAGGUGCUCCUGUUGGCUCUGCUUCUCAGUUUUGUUGUGUCACAGUAUGUUGGGAAGGGUCUUUGGUGUGUUCUGUUCUGCUGUGUGCGGAGAACUCUGGAAACUGUGGAGCGUGCUACUGAAAUACCCAUGGCAGUUCUGUAUCUCCGUUCUCACAAGUGCAUCAGAGUUCAUAUAGUAUUCAGCCAGUAUUUUCUGUAUGUUUGUUGAGCAACCCUAUUUGGAAAACAGAGCAUUAAAAAUGCAAAAAAAAUCCUUCAAAAAGCCAUUUGUGGGUAAAGUGACUUGCAAUUGCUUGCUGGAUUUACAGAAUUAUUGACUCUCUGUAAUGGUGCAGCGUCAGUCCAGUCAAAGUGUUUUGGCUGUGUGCUUGCUGCCAGGACUACUUGAUCAAGGGCUGCAUGAAAGAGAACAGUUCUGUAAUAUUUCUGAAAACAAAUAU
rnacentral:lncRNA from 1 species